GACGAACGCUGGCGGCGUGCUUAACACAUGCAAGUCGAACGGAAAGGCCCUGUUUGCGUGGUACUCGAGUGGCGAACGGGCGAGUAACACGUGGGUGAUCUGCCCUGCACUGAGGGGUAAGCCUGGGAAAGUGGGUCUAACACCGACCAGGUGCCAUCUUUAGACAGAUGGUUGGAAAGUUUUUUCGGUGUUGGAUGGGCUCACGGCCUAUCAGCUUGUUGGUGGGGUAAUGGCCUACCAAGGCGGCGACCGGUAGCCGGCCUGAGAGGGUGGACGGCCACAUUGGGACUGAGAGACGGCCCAGACUCCUACGGGAGGCAGCAGUGGGGAGUAUUGCACAAUGGGCGCAAGCCUGAUGCGGCGACGCCGCGUGGGUGAUGACGGCCUUCGGGUUGUAAACUCCUUUCGCUAGGGAAGAAGCUUUUUGUGACGGUACCUAGAUAAGAAGCACCGGCUAACUACGUG
rnacentral:rRNA from 1 species